CAUCAUAGAGCCUACAGGGAGACUCAACUUCCAGGGACAUGAGACUGGCGGCCAGGACACCAGUGAGAAGAGGCUCCAGCCAGUGAACCUGAGGAAAAGAAGAAUCUUGCUACCCUCCACCACAAGGCAAAGUCUAUCUUCCUUUCUUUUGAAUCUGGGAAGACACUUGUGACUGCCUCAAUGAAUAGGAAGAAUACAGUGGAAGUGAUGCUGCGUGGCUGCUAAGAAUAGGCUGGAAAAGGCCAUGCAGCCUCUGUUCGUCUCCCUCUUGGAACACUUGUCUUUGGAACCCUGAGUUGCCAAGUAGGACAUCCAGGGCUGCCGUGCUGUGGGGAAGCCCAAAACUAACCCACACAGAGAGACCACAUGAAAAAACACUGACACUGCAUGAAGAGACAGUGAUGUACUCCAGCUGCCUAAGGCUUCAUCCCCUGCCUGUUCCAGCUCCAGAAAACCUGAAGGCAACAGCAUGAGACACCCUGAGCUAAAACCACCUAGCUGAGCUGUUUCUGAAUUUCUGACCUAUUUUUUAUUUCUGACCAAUAAAAAAUAAUUUUAUUAUCUGUGAUUGAUAAUAAAUUUAUUAUUGUUUC